CGGUGGAUGAUGUGGUUUAAUUCGAUGCAACGCGAAAAACCUUACCCACCUUUGACAUGGCAGGAAGUUACCAGAGAUGGUUUCGUGCUCGAAAGAGAACCUGCACACAGGUGCUGCAUGGCUGUCGUCAGCUCGUGUCGUGAGAUGUUGGGUUAAGUCCCGCAACGAGCGCAACCCUUGCCAUCAGUUGCUACGAAAGGGCACUCUGAUGGGACUGCCGGUGACAAACCGGAGGAAGGUGGGGAUGACGUCAAGUCCUCAUGGCCCUUAUAGGUGGGGCUACACACGUCAUACAAUGGCCGGUACAAAGGGCAGCCAACCCGCGAGGGGGAGCCAAUCCCAUAAAGCCGGUCGUAGUCCGGAUCGCAGUCUGCAACUCGACUGCGUGAAGUCGGAAUCGCUAGUAAUCGUGGAUCAGCAUGUCACGGUGAAUACGUUCCCGGGUCUU
rnacentral:rRNA from 1 species